GAUGAACGCUAGCGGCAGGCCUAAUACAUGCAAGUCGAGGGGUAGAAGAGGCUUGCUUCUUUGAGACCGGCGCACGGGUGCGUAACGCGUAUGCAACCUACCUUCAUCUGGGGGAUAGCCCGGAGAAAUCUGGAUUAAUACCGCAUAAAAUCACAGGAUGGCAUUAUCCAAUGAUCAAACAUUUAUGGGAUGGAGAUGGGCAUGCGUGUCAUUAACUAGUUGGCGGGGUAACGGCCCACCAAGGCGACGAUGACUAGGGGAUCUGAGAGGAUGGCCCCCCACACUGGUACUGAGACACGGACCAGACUCCUACGGGAGGCAGCAGUAAGGAAUAUUGGUCAAUGGAGGCAACUCUGAACCAGCCAUGCCGCGUGCAGGAAGACUGCCCUAUGGGUUGUAAACUGCUUUUAUUCGGGAAUAAACCUUAUUACGUGUAAUAAGCUGAAUGUACCGAAGGAAUAAGGAUCGGCUAACUCCGUGCCAGCCGCCGCAGUAAGAC
rnacentral:rRNA from 1 species